rnacentral:rRNA from 1 species
AACGAACGCUGGCGGCAGGCUUAACACAUGCAAGUCGAACGGGUGUAGCAAUACAUCAGUGGCAGACGGGUGAGUAACACGUGGGAACCUUCCUAGGGGUACGGAACAACUCAGGGAAACUUGAGCUAAUACCGUAUACGUCCGUGAGGAGAAAGAUUUAUCGCCCUUAGACGGGCCCGCGUCGGAUUAGCUAGUUGGUGGGGUAACGGCCUACCAAGGCGACGAUCCGUAGCUGAUCUUAGAGGAUGAUCAGCCACACUGGGACUGAGACACGGCCCAGACUCCUACGGGAGGCAGCAGUGGGGAAUCUUGGACAAUGGGCGCAAGCCUGAUCCAGCCAUGCCGCGUGAGUGAAGAAGGCCUUAGGGUUGUAAAGCUCUUUUGCCAGGGACGAUAAUGACGGUACCUGGAGAAUAAGCCCCGGCAAACUUCGUGCCAGCCGCCGCCGUAAAAC